rnacentral:rRNA from 1 species
ACUGAACGCUGGCGGCAGGCCUAACACAUGCCAGUCGAGCGGAUGAAGGGAGCUUGCUCCUGGAUUCAGCGGCGGACGGGUGAGUAAUGCCUAGGAAUCUGCCUGGUAGUGGGGGAUAACGUCCGGAAACGGGCGCUAAUACCGCAUACGUCCUGAGGGAGAAAGUGGGGGAUCUUCGGACCUCACGCUAUCAGAUGAGCCUAGGUCGGAUUAGCUAGUUGGUGGGGUAAAGGCCUACCAAGGCGACGAUCCGUAACUGGUCUGAGAGGAUGAUCAGUCACACUGGAACUGAGACACGGUCCAGACUCCUACGGGAGGCAGCAGUGGGGAAUAUUGGACAAUGGGCGAAAGCCUGAUCCAGCCAUGCCGCGUGUGUGAAGAAGGUCUUCGGAUUGUAAAGCACUUUAAGUUGGGAGGAAGGGCAGUAAGUUAAUACCUUGCUGUUUUGACGUUACCAACAGAAUAAGCACCGGCUAACUUCGUG